rnacentral:rRNA from 1 species
AACGAACGCUGGCGGCAUGCCUAACACAUGCAAGUCGAACGAGACCUUCGGGUCUAGUGGCGCACGGGUGCGUAACGCGUGGGAACCUGCCCUUAGGUUCGGAAUAACUCCCCGAAAGGGUGCUAAUACCGGAUAAUGUCUUCGGACCAAAGAUUUAUCGCCUUUGGAUGGGCCCGCGUUGGUUUAGCUAGUUGGUAGGGUAAAAGCCUACCAAGGCGACGAUCCAUAGCUGGUCUGAGAGGAUGAUCAGCCACACUGGGACUGAGACACGGCCCAGACUCCUACGGGAGGCAGCAGUGGGGAAUAUUGGACAAUGGGCGAAAGCCUGAUCCAGCAAUGCCGCGUGAGUGAUGAAGGCCUUAGGGUUGUAAAGCUCUUUUACCCGGGAUGAUAAUGACAGUACCGGGAGAAUAAGCUCCGGCUAACUCCGUG